GUCAGCCUGCACUCAUUUUCCAAUUCAUUUUCUGAGCCUUUGAGGAUGAACAAGACCAACGAGAACCAGUCAGGUAAAAAUCAUUGGUGAAGUCACCAGAUGUGGAUGGCGUGUAUGUUGUUCGACAUUGCAGCGUGCUGAUGAGUUAAUAAAGAGGCAGCAAAAACCUGGGAUCUGCAUUGGCCCUGUCAAGUCUGGAGAGUGUUUUUACCAUUUAAUGAAUUCAAUUGUAAUAAAAGUUUUUAAAUGGA